ensembl:lncRNA
CUGAAUUAUCUGCAUUUCUGCAUAGAUGGCUAGCGCAGAGGAAGGUUUUCAGUAGAGAGGUUUAAUUUUCAGUAGUGUGUGUGAGAGGUUUUCAGUAGUGAGUGUGAGAGGUCUAAUUUUCAGUAGUGUGUGUGAGAGGUUUUCAGUAGUGUGUGUGAGAGGUUUUCAGUAGUGUGUGUGAGAGGUUUUCAGUAGUGUGUGUGAGAGGUUUAAUUUUCAGUAGUGUGUGUGAGAGGUUUUCAGUAGUGUGUGUGAGAGGUUUUCAGUAGUGAGUGUGAGAGGUUUAAUUUUCAGUAGUGAGUGUGAGAGGUUUUCAGUAGUGAGUGUGAGAGGUUUUCAGUAGUGUGUGUGAGAGGUUUUCAGUAGUGUGUGUGAGAGGUUUUCAGUAGUGAGUGUGAGAG